GACGAACGCUGGCGGCGUGCUUAACACAUGCAAGUCGAACGAGAAGAGAUGAGAAGCUUGCUUCUUAUUGAUUCGAGUGGCAAACGGGUGAGUAACGCGUAAGCAACCUGCCCUUCAGAUGGGGACAACAGCUGGAAACGGCUGCUAAUACCGAAUACGUUCUUUUUGUCGCAUGGCAGAGAGAAGAAAGGGAGGCUCUUCGGAGCUUUCGCUGAAGGAGGGGCUUGCGUCUGAUUAGCUAGUUGGAGGGUAACGGCCCACCAAGGCGACGAUCAGUAGGGGUUCUGAGAGGAAGGUUCCCCCACAUUGGAACUGAGACACGGUCCAAACUCCUACGGGAGCAGCAGUGAGGAAUAUUGGUCAAUGGACGAGAGUCUGAACCAGCCAAGUAGCGUGCAGGAUGACGGCCCUAUGGGUUGUAAACUGCUUUUAUAAGGGAAUAAAGUGGGUCACGUGUGACUUUUGCAUGUACCUUAUGAAU
rnacentral:rRNA from 1 species